GAUGAACGCUGGCGGCGUGCCUAAUACAUGCAAGUCGAGCGAACAGACGAGGAGCUUGCUCCUCUGACGUUAGCGGCGGACGGGUGAGUAACACGUGGAUAACCUACCUAUAAGACUGGGAUAACUUCGGGAAACCGGAGCUAAUACCGGAUAAUAUAUUGAACCGCAUGGUUCAAUAGUGAAAGACGGUUUUGCUGUCACUUAUAGAGGGAUCCGCGCCGCAUUAGCUAGUUGGUAAGUUAACGGCUUACCAAGGCAACGAUGCGUAGCCGCCCCCAGAGGGUGAUCGGCCACCCUGGAACUGAGACACGGUCCAGACUCCUACGGGAGGAAGCAGUAGGGAAUCUUCCGCAAUGGGCGAAAGCCUGACGGAGCAACGCCGCGUGAGUGCUGAAGGUCUUCGGAUCGUAAAACUCUGUUAUUAGGGAAGAACAAAUGUGUAAGUAACUAUGCACGUCUUGACGGUACCUAAUCAGAAAGCCACGGCUAACUACGUG
rnacentral:rRNA from 1 species